rnacentral:pre_miRNA from 1 species
GGAGAAACGAGGGAUCCUGGGCUGUGUGUCUCCGGUGCCCUGUGCUCCCGGGCCUGUGCUGUUGGAAUCACACUCAUGGCCCGCAGCUCCCU